rnacentral:rRNA from 1 species
AUUGAACGCUGGCGGCAUGCUUUACACAUGCAAGUCGGACGGCAGCACAGAGAAGCUUGCUUCUUGGGUGGCGAGUGGCGAACGGGUGAGUAACAUAUCUGAACGUACCGAGCAGUGGGGGAUAACUAAUCGAAAGAUUAGCUAAUACCGCAUAUCUUCUGAGGAAGAAAGCAGGGGACCAUUUGGCCUUGCGCUGUUUGAGCGGCCGAUAUCUGAUUAGCUAGUUGGUGGGGUAAAGGCCUACCAAGGCGACGAUCAGUAGCGGGUCUGAGAGGAUGAUCCGCCACACUGGGACUGAGACACGGCCCAGACUCCUACGGGAGGCAGCAGUGGGGAAUUUUGGACAAUGGGCGAAAGCCUGAUCCAGCCAUGCCGCGUGUCUGAAGAAGGCCUUCGGGUUGUAAAGGACUUUUGUCAGGGAAGAAAAGGGCGGGGUUAAUACCCCUGUCUGAUGACGGUACCUGAAGAAUAAGCACCGGCUAACUACGUG